AGUGAACGCUGGCGGCGGGCCUAAUACAUGCAAGUCGAAGGAAGUGGCGCACGGGUGAGUAAUAUAUAGCUAAUCUGCCCCUUGCUGGAGGACAACAGUUAGAAAUGACUGCUAAUACUCCAUAGCAAGGGAUGAGACUAUAUCUUAUCAGCUAGUCGGUGGGGUAACGGCCUACCGAGGCUAUGACGCGUAAAUGGUGUGAGAGGAGGAUCAGGCACAUUUGAACGGAGGCACCUGCCAACCACCUUCGUGAGGCAGCAGUAGGGAAUAUUGCGCAAUGGGGGAAUCGCUGACGCAGCAACGCCUCGUGGAGCAUGACACUUUUCGGAGCGUAAACUCCUUUUGUUAGGGAAGCGGUACCUAACGAAUAAGCACCGGCUAACUCCGUGCCAGCCGCCGCGGUAAUUC
rnacentral:rRNA from 1 species